AACGAACGCUGGCGGCAUGCCUAACACAUGCAAGUCGAACGAGACCUUCGGGUUUUGUGUCGCACGGGGGCGUAACGCGCGGGAACCUGCCCUCAUGGGUGGGAUAACUCCCCGAGAAACGUGCUCUUAUCGGAUAAACGCUUCUUACCAGAGAUUUAUCGCCGUUGGGUAGGCCCGCGUGUGAUUAGCUAGUUGGUAGGGUAAAAGCCUACCAAGGCGACGAUCCAUAGCUGGUCUGAGAGGAUGAUCAGCCACACUGGGACUGAGACACGGCCCAGACUCCUACGGGAGGCAGCAGUGGGGAAUAUUGGACAAUGGGCGCAAGCCUGAUCCAGCCAUGCCGCGUGAGUGAUGAAGGCCUUAGGGUUGUAAAGCUCUUUUAUCCGGGAUGAUAAUGACGGUACCGGAAGAAUAAGCCCCGGCUAACUUCGUG
rnacentral:rRNA from 1 species